rnacentral:rRNA from 1 species
UACGGGGGGGGGGCAAGCGUUGUUCGGAAUUACUGGGCGUAAAGGGCUCGUAGGCGGCCAACUAAGUCAGACGUGAAAUCCCUCGGCUUAACCGGGGAACUGCGUCUGAUACUGGAUGGCUAGAGUUUGGGAGAGGGAUGCGGAAUUCCAGGUGUAGCGGUGAAAAUUCGUAGAUAUUCGGAGGAACACCAGUGGCGAAGGCGGCUCACUGGUCCAUUACUGACGCUGAGGUGCGAAAGCGUGGGGAGCAAACAGG